CUUUUACAAUGAAGAGUUUGAUCCUGGCUCAGGAUGAACGCUAGCUACAGGCUUAACACAUGCAAGUCGAGGGGCAGCANAAUGCUGACUAACAAUACUUUUACAAUGAAGAGUUUGAUCCUGGCUCAGGAUGAACGCUAGCUACAGGCUUAACACAUGCAAGUCGAGGGGCAGCAUUUCAGUUUGCUUGCAAACUGGAGAUGGCGACCGGCGCACGGGUGAGUAACACGUAUCCAACCUGCCGAUAACUCGGGGAUAGCCUUUCGAAAGAAAGAUUAAUACCCGAUGGCAUAAUUAGACCGCAUGGUCUUAUUAUUAAAGAAUUUCGGUUAUCGAUGGGGAUGCGUUCCAUUAGGCAGUUGGUGAGGUAACGGCUCACCAAACCUUCGAUGGAUAGGGGUUCUGAGAGGAAGGUCCCCCACAUUGGAACUGAGACACGGUCCAAACUCCUACGGGAGGCAGCAGUGAGGAAUAUUGGUCAAUGGGCGCAGGCCUGAACCAGCCAAGUAGCGUGAAGGAUGACUGCCCUAUGGGUUGUAAACUUCUUUUAUAUGGGAAUAAAGUUUUCCACGUGUGGAAUUUUGUAUGUACCAUAUGAAUAAGGAUCGGCUAACUCCGUGCCAGCAGCCGCGGUAAUACGGAGGAUCCGAGCGUUAUCCGGAUUUAUUGGGUUUAAAGGGAGCGUAGGUGGACAGUUAAGUCAGUUGUGAAAGUUUGCGGCUCAACCGUAAAAUUGCAGUUGAUACUGGCUGUCUUGAGUACAGUAGAGGUGGGCGGAAUUCGUGGUGUAGCGGUGAAAUGCUUAGAUAUCACGAAGAACUCCGAUUGCGAAGGCAGCUCACUGGACUGCAACUGACACUGAUGCUCGAAAGUGUGGGUAUCAAACAGGAUUAGAUACCCUGGUAGUCCACACAGUAAACGAUGAAUACUCGCUGUUUGCGAUAUACAGUAAGCGGCCAAGCGAAAGCAUUAAGUAUUCCACCUGGGGAGUACGCCGGCAACGGUGAAACUCAAAGGAAUUGACGGGGGCCCGCACAAGCGGAGGAACAUGUGGUUUAAUUCGAUGAUACGCGAGGAACCUUACCCGGGCUUAAAUUGCAUUUGAAUAAUCUGGAAACAGGUUAGCCGCAAGGCAAAUGUGAAGGUGCUGCAUGGUUGUCGUCAGCUCGUGCCGUGAGGUGUCGGCUUAAGUGCCAUAACGAGCGCAACCCUUAUCUUUAGUUACUAACAGGUCAUGCUGAGGACUCUAGAGAGACUGCCGUCGUAAGAUGUGAGGAAGGUGGGGAUGACGUCAAAUCAGCACGGCCCUUACGUCCGGGGCUACACACGUGUUACAAUGGGGGGUACAGAAGGCAGCUACCUGGUGACAGGAUGCUAAUCCCAAAAGCCUCUCUCAGUUCGGAUCGAAGUCUGCAACCCGACUUCGUGAAGCUGGAUUCGCUAGUAAUCGCGCAUCAGCCAUGGCGCGGUGAAUACGUUCCCGGGCCUUGUACACACCGCCCGUCAAGCCAUGAAAGCCGGGGGUACCUGAAGUACGUAACCGCAAGGAGCGUCCUAGGGUAAAACUGGUAAUUGGGGCUAAGUCGUAACAAGGUAGCCGUACCGGAAGGUGCGGCUGGAACACCUCCUUU
rnacentral:rRNA from 1 species